CGCACCGGUGCUCGUACGACCACCGAAGAUAAGCAUCGUUGAGCCUAGUCAGUACCUAGAUGGGUGACCGCUUGGAAAUACCAGAGACUGUAUG